rnacentral:rRNA from 1 species
AACGAACGCUGGCGGCGUGGAUUAGGCAUGCAAGUCGAACGCGAAAGAGGGAGCAAUCCCUCAAGUAGAGUGGCGAACGGGUGAGUAACGCGUGAAGAACCUGCCUUCAACAGGGGGAUAACACUCCCAACGGGGUGCUAAUACCGCAUGAGACCACGGGUCCGCAUGGACCUGAGGUCAAAGGUGGCCUCUGCUUGCAAGCUACCGGUUGAAGAUGGCUUCGCGUCCCAUAGCUAGUUGGCGGUGUAAAAGACCACCAAGGCGACGAUGGGUAGCUGGUCUGAGAGGAUGGUCAGCCACACUGGGACUGAGAUACGGCCCAGACUCCUACGGGAGCAGCAGUCGAGAGGCUUUGGCAAGUGGGGAAACCCUGACCAAGCGACGCCGCGUGGAGGAU